rnacentral:rRNA from 1 species
GACGAACGCUGGCGGCGUGCCUAAUACAUGCAAGUAGAACGCUGAAGAGAGGAGCUUGCUCUUCUUGGACGAGUUGCGAACGGGUGAGUAACGCGUAGGUAACCUGCCUUGUAGCGGGGGAUAACUAUUGGAAACGAUAGCUAAUACCGCAUAACAAUAGGUGACACAUGUCAUUUAUUUGAAAGGGGCAAUUGCUCCACUACAAGAUGGACCUGCGUUGUAUUAGCUAGUAGGUGAGGUAACGGCUCACCUAGGCGACGAUACAUAGCCGACCUGAGAGGGUGAUCGGCCACACUGGGACUGAGACACGGCCCAGACUCCUACGGGAGGCAGCAGUAGGGAAUCUUCGGCAAUGGGGGCAACCCUGACCGAGCAACGCCGCGUGAGUGAAGAAGGUUUUCGGAUCGUAAAGCUCUGUUGUAAGUCAAGAACGAGUGUGAGAGUGGAAAGUUCACACUGUGACGGUAGCUUACCAGAAAGGGACGGCUAACUACGUGCCAGCAGCCGCGGUAAUACGUAGGUCCCGAGCGUUGUCCGGAUUUAUUGGGCGUAAAGCGAGCGCAGGCGGUUUGAUAAGUCUGAAGUUAAAGGCUGUGGCUCAACCAUAGUUCGCUUUGGAAACUGUCAAACUUGAGUGCAGAAGGGGAGAGUGGAAUUCCAUGUGUAGCGGUGAAAUGCGUAGAUAUAUGGAGGAGCACCGGUGGCGAAAGCGGCUCUCUGGUCUGUAACUGACGCUGAGGCUCGAAAGCGUGGGGAGCGAACAGG